rnacentral:rRNA from 1 species
GACGGAGGGGGCUAGCGUUGUUCGGAAUUACUGGGCGUAAAGCGCACGUAGGCGGCCCUUCGAGUCAGGCGUGAAAGCCCCGGGCUUAACCCGGGAAUUGCGUUUGAUACUGUUGGGCUUGAGACCGGGAGAGGAUAGCGGAAUUCCCAGUGUAGAGGUGAAAUUCGUAGAUAUUGGGAAGAACACCAGUGGCGAAGGCGGCUAUCUGGGCCGAUAUCGACGCUGAGGAGCGAAAGCGUGGGGAGCAAACA